AAUGUGCACCAACUUUGUUCAAACGAAUCUUUACAUGAACGAAUAGUUUAAUGGUCAUUUGUUUUUUCUGUUGUAUUUGUGUUUAUGUUUGAGGAGUGCAGGAGUACGGUUGACGAAAAGUGCCAAAAGUUGCUGAAGCAGUGGCAUUUUGUAACACUGCUACAAAAAUUUGAAGAUGAAGGAAUGACAUAGGAUAUUUUGCUGGAUCUUGUUCAGAGUUUCCUUCCCCAGCUGGUGCCAAAAUUUGAUGACCAAUUCAAAUUGAUGCGGCAUAUUAAAGAGUACAAAUCUGCAUCUUUGUGAUUGACGUCCUGGCAUCCCCGUCCCCGUGCAGUACUAAAUACAUAAUUUGUACUUAAUGAUGUUUUAAAUGUUUAUUAUUUUGCUUAAUAAAUUGUUCUAAAUA